UUAAUUGAAGAGUUUGAUCAUGGCUCAGAUUGAACGCUGGCGGCAGGCCUAACACAUGCAAGUCGAGCGGUAACAGGGGAAGCUUGCUUCUCGCUGACGAGCGGCGGACGGGUGAGUAAUGUAUGGGGAUCUGCCCGAUAGAGGGGGAUAACCACUGGAAACGGUGGCUAAUACCGCAUAAUCUCUUAGGAGCAAAGCAGGGGAACUUCGGUCCUUGCGCUAUCGGAUGAACCCAUAUGGGAUUAGCUAGUAGGUG
rnacentral:rRNA from 1 species